rnacentral:rRNA from 1 species
CACGUAGGCGGACUCUUAAGUCGGUGGUGAAAUCCUGGAGCUCAACUCCAGAACUGCCUUCGAUACUGAGAGUCUCGAGUCCGGGAGAGGUGAGUGGAACUGCGAGUGUAGAGGUGAAAUUCGUAGAUAUUCGCAAGAACACCAGUGGCGAAGGCGGCUCACUGGCCCGGAACUGACGCUGAGGUGCGAAAGCGUGGGGAGCAAACA